AUGAACGAGGCACUUCUAGCCCCGUACACACAAUAGGAGGUUAAAAGGGCGUUGUUUAGCAUCGGAGACAUGAAAGCCCCUGGCCCGGACGGCCUGCACGCCAUAUUUUAUAAGAAAUUUUGGCAUUUGCUGGGUGAUGAGUUAGUGAAAGAGGUUCCUGAAGCAGUAAACAACAAAGUAAUUCCAGAAGGAUGGAAUACCACUACCAUAGUUCUUAUUCCCAAAUUGGAGACUCCUGAAAAGAUCGCUCAAUUUAGGCCCAUUAGCCUUUGUAAUGUGGUCUACAAAGUGAUUGCAAAAAUGUUAGCUGCAAGGCUCAAGGUGUUCCUUCCAGAUAUUAUUAGUGAAAUGCAAAGUGUGUUUGUCCUAGGUCGUAUAAUCACUGAUAAUGUAAUUGUGGCCUAUGAAUGUUUACAUACUUUGAAGAAAGAGAAGAAGGGGAAAAUUGGUUGUUGCGCUGUCAAACUUGAUAUGCAUAAAGCAUACGACCGUGUCGAACGGGUGUUCUUGGAAGCCAUACUGAAGAAGCUGGGGUUCGAGAACCGUUGGGUUUAGUUGAUCAUGGCAUGUGUAACAUCCGUCCAAUAUAAGGUGAGAUUCAACUCAAGUAAGACCGAUCCUUUCCAUUCUACAAGGGGUCUAAGGUAGGGGGACCCCCUGUCCCCUUACCUCUUUCUCUUGUGCGCUGAAGGUUUAUCUGCAUUAAUUGCUCACGAGGAGGAAGUUGGAAAUCUGGAAGGAGUUCAGGUCUGUCGUGACUCACCAUUCAUCUCUCAUCUAUUCUUUGCUGACGAUUCAUUCAUCCUAAUGAAAGCAGACACUAUGAAUGCUACUACCCUGAAACGAGUUUUGGAUGAAUAUUGUAUUGUUUCAGGACAAUUGGUAAGUGUUGCCAAAUCAUCUAUAUAUUUUAGUCCGAGUACUAAGGUAGAAGACAAAGUUGAAAUCUGACAAAUAUUGGAUAUAAUGACCGAAUCUUUGUCUCACAAAUACCUGGGGCUCCCCUCUAUGAUUGGGGUUGACAGGGUGGACUAUUUUAAGCACCUUAUUGAAAGAAUUCAGAAACUUACAAAUGGAUGGAAAGAAAUAACUUUAUCCUAUGGUGGGAAAGAGGCAUUGAUAAAGGCGGUGGCUCAAUCCAUCCCCACCUAUGCGAUGGGGGUAUUCAAAUUCGAAAAAAAUUGUAAGGGGAUCAAUGAUGCUAUUUCACAUUUCUGGUGGGGAGAUGGUGAGAAUCAACGGAAAAUGCAUUGGUUUGCAUGGUGA
rnacentral:rRNA from 1 species